rnacentral:rRNA from 1 species
UUGACGGGGGCCCGCACAAGCGUGGAGCAUGUGGUUUAAUUCGAUGAUACGCGAAGAACCUUACCGGGGUUUGACAUGCAGGUGAUCGCCGUUGAAAGACGGUUUCCUCUUCGGAGGCACCUGCACAGGUGCUGCAUGGCUGUCGUCAGCUCGUGUCGUGAGAUGUUCGGUUAAGUCCGCUAACGAGCGCAACCCUCGCUGUGUGUUAUAUGUGUCACACGGGACUGCCGGUCUUAAGCCGGAGGAAGGUGGGGAUGAUGUCAAGUCAGCAUGGCCUUUAUAUCCUGGGCUACACACACGCUACAAUGGCCAACACAAUAGGUUGCUAAGCCGCGAGGUGGCGCCAAUCCAUAAAGUUGGUCUCAGUUCAGAUUGUAGGCUGCAACCCGCCUGCAUGAAGAUGGAGUUGCUAGUAACCGCAGGUCAGCUAUACUGCGGUGAAUACGUUCCCGGGGCUU